AUACGGAGGGGACAAGCGUUAUUCGGAAUCACUGGGCGUAAAGGACGCGUAGGCGGGUUAUUAAGUCGGGUGUGAAAUCCAAUGGCUCAACCAUUGAACUGCAUUCGAAACUGAUAACCUAGAGUAUGGAAGGGGCAGGUGGAAUUAGUGGUGUAGGGGUAAAAUCCGUAGAUAUCACCAGGAAUACCGAAAGCGAAGGCGACCUGCUGGGACAUUACUGACGCUGAGGCGUGAAAGCGUGGGGAGCAAACAGGAUUAGAAACCCCGGUAGUCC
rnacentral:rRNA from 1 species